rnacentral:rRNA from 1 species
UGGGGAAUAUUGCACAAUGGGCGAAAGCCUGAUGCAGCAACGCCGCGUGAGUGAUGAAGGCCUUCGGGUUGUAAAGCUCUGUCUUCUGGGACGAUAAUGACGGUACCAGAGGAGGAAGCCACGGCUAGCUACGUGCCAGCAGCCGCGGUAAUACGUAGGUGGCAAGCGUUGUCCGGAUUUACUGGGCGUAAAGGAUGCGUAGGCGGAUACUUAAGUCGGAUGUGAAAAUCCCUGGCUUAACUUGGGAACUGCAUUUGAAACUGGGUAUCUAGAGUGCGGGAGAGGAAAGUGGAAUUCCGAGUGUAGCGGUUAAAUGCGUAGAUAUUAGGAAGAACACCAGUGGCGAAGGCGACUUUCUGGUCCGUAACUGACGCUGAGGCAUGAAAGCGUGGGGAGCAAACA